AGCCAGGGCGUGUCUUAGUCUGUAGCUUCUGAGUCUGUGCAGAGAAACUGAAACUAGUCUGCUCUGCUGAAAUGAAACUAACUGUUCUCUCCUGCCUUGUGUUCUGCCUGUAACUUUUAUCACAUUGGAAGAAUCAACUAUUGGAUAAAAGCUACAUCUAGACAUUCCAAAAAAUGAAUGAAAACAGCAACGUGCUUGAGUUUCAAGACAAAGGAAAACAAAAGGCAAAAGAAAAUGGAGGCGUUACUUAGCAAAUGGAAUGCUUGCUUCCACUGUUCCUAAUCAACAAAUGGAUCAUCUAUAAAUCUAGAAAUUCCUCCAAUAGUUUGCAAAGGCAUAUAGAAUCCCAUUUAAAUGAAAAAUAUAUAAUUCAGGAAUAAAUUAAGUCUUUCCAGCU